GUAUGCUUUUAAUAGCAUGCAAAGCUUGUAUUACUUUUCCUCCUCCACUGCAGAUUGAACCUAUGGCCAAGCACAUACUAGACAGAUGUUCUACUGCUGAAUUGUAUUUCUGUACCCACCUUUACUUUUUUUCUUAAGAUUUAUUUAUUAUUGUAUCUAAGUACACUGUAGCUGUCUUCAGAGGUACCAGAAGAGGGAGUCAGAUCUUGUUAUAGAUGGUUGCGAGCCACCAUGUGGUUGCUGGGAUUUGAACUCAUGAUCUUAAGAAAAGCAGUCAGUGCUCUUAACUGCUGAGCUAUCUCUCCAGCCUCCCCAUACCAACCUAUAAACGUUUUACUUUGAGAUAGUCUCACAGAGUUCUGAGUACAUUCUGUAAUUCAAGCAGGGCUUGAACAUUCGGUCCUACUACUUUAACCUCCCAAGUAGCUGAAUUAAUUCUCUUCCGUGACUGGGCAGUGGUACCUUUAAUCUCAGCACUUUGGGAGGCAUAGGCAGGCGGAAUUCUGAGUUCAAGGCCAGCCUGUUCUAAAGACUGAGUUCUAGGAAGGCCAAGGGAACACAGAGAAACCAUGUCUUGAAAAAAUAAAAACAACAAAAAAAAACCCCAAAAGAUCCCUCUUCCUUCUAUCUCACUAUCAAAGGCAUAGGUUUAAGAUAAGUGGGUCAAAUAGCAAGUAUAAUAUGCAGCUAAUCCUCUGUGUGUUUGUGUGCAUGCGUGCAUGCGCUGAAUAAGGACCACAGACAUUUAUAUAAGGCCCCAAAGUGUAGGUGUAGUUUGGGGAUCUUAUGUACAACCUUAUAUCUAUAGCUCAUAAGAUUUUUUUUAAAUUCCUAGGAUUUCUGUUUUACUUUGUUUUCUCCUAUUCUAUGGGUAUCUUAAAGUUAUUUUUAUUUUAUUGUAUUUUAUUUACUUUUAUUUGUUUAGGGGUUUUGUUUGGUUUUUGUCCUGAUUGCUUUGCAUCUCACUUUUUUUUUUUUUAAUUAGACAAGGUUGCUCUAUAUAGCCUUGGCUGUCCUGGAACUUGCUCGGUAGACCAGGCUGGCUUCAAACUCACAGAGAUAGAUCUACCUGCCUCUGCCUCCUGAGUGCUGGGAUUAAAGGCGUGUACCACCACCUCUAGGCAACACCCAUAUCUUAAAGAAGCUUGGAAAAGGCAUUUUUUAAAAACCUGCUUUGAGUUAGCCAAGCAUAUAGUCUUAAACAAUCUUCCUCAUAUGUGUAAGCUGAAAGAACUACUACAUUUCUGUCCAAUACCUGACAUCUUAGUAGUAGUACCUGACUUGCUUAGUAGUGAUAAAUGACUGAGCCAGAAAUUACUGCUGCUUUGAGAUAGCCUGUUAGGAUUAGUACAUUUCUAACCUUUAGAAGUAUUUUUUAAAUUGCAUAUAUUUUGUGUGGGGGGCACUGAUGUAUCAUAGCAAAAUAUUAUGUGGAAGUCAGAAAUGAACUUUCAGGAGUCUGUUCUCUCCUUUCAACAUAUGAGUCUGAUGGAUCAAACUCAUAUUAGGCUUAGUUGUGAGUUCUUUUACCCACUAAGUCAUUUAGCUGUCCCCAGAGUAGAAGUAUGUUUACUAAAUAGCAUCUAACCCUUACCUGAUUCUGUCAAUGAUUGAACCUUGAUAUUUACUGUCUUAUUUGGGAUUCAAUCUCAUACCUUUUCAAAGGAUACAGCUUAUACUGCUGCCACAGCAGUACUUUUUCUACUAUAUUAAUAUUAUGAAGAAAAGCUAAACAGUAUUUGAAUUCAAAGUAGCUUUUAUUUGAGCUCAUGAGAUUUUCUUUCCAGGAAAUAUCUGCACAUGUGUAGGCUUUUAGUAGGAGGGAAGAAAAAAGAAAGAAAGAAAGAAACCUUUACUGCUUUUGUAUAGCAGUUCACUGUUCUUUUAAAAAAAAAAAAACCUAUGCAGAAGUGCAAGCAGUUUAAUGUCUCUUACUCCUACCCUCCCACACACAAGCAAGGCACUGUACCACUGAACUAUGAUGUUCCCAGCCCUAACAUUACCACAUUUUCAGUUGGGAAAACAGGAAAUAUUUCUAUUUUCUAUGUGCAUGAGUGUUUUGUCUGCAUCUAUUUCUAUGCACUACUUGUACCUAGUGCCCAUGGAGGCCAGAAGAAGAUAUCGAUUUCUCUGGAAACAGGAGUUACAGAUGGUUGUGAGCUGCUGUGUAUGUGCUGGGUCCUC
rnacentral:lncRNA from 1 species